AGCCGCGGUGACACGUAGGCACCAAGCGUUGUCCGGAUUUAUUGGGCGUAAAGAGCUCGUAGGCGGUUCGGUAAGUCGGGUGUGAAAACUUUGGGCUUAACCCAAAGCCUGCAUCCGAUACUGCUGUGACUAGAGUUCGGUAGGGGAGCGGGGAAUUCCUAGUGUAGCGGUGAAAUGCGCAGAUAUUAGGAGGAACACCGGUGGCGAAGGCGCCGCUCUGGGCCGAUACUGACGCUGAGGAGCGAAAGCGUGGGUAGCAAACAGGAUUAGAUACCCUGGUAGUCCACGCCGUAAACGUUGGGCACUAGGUGUGGGUCUCAACCAACGAGAUCCGCGCCGUCGCUAACGCAUUAAGUGCCCCGCCUGGGGAGUACGGCCGCAAGGUUAAAACUCAAAGGAAUUGACGGGGGCCCGCACAAGCAGCGGAGCGUGUUGCUUAAUUCGAUGCAACGCGAAGAACCUUACCUGGGCUUGACAUGUACGGAAAAGCCGUAGAGAUACGGUGUCCUUCGGGGCCGUACACAGGAGGUGCAUGGCC
rnacentral:rRNA from 1 species